GAAUGCUGACAUAAGUAACGAUAAAGCGGGUGAAAAGCCCGCUCGCCGGAAGACCAAGGGUUCCUGUCCAACGUUAAUCGGGGCAGGGUGAGUCGACCCCUAAGGCGAGGCCGAAAGGCGUAGUCGAUGGGAAACAGGUUAAUAUUCCUGUACUUGGUGUUACUGCGAAGGGGGGACGGAGAAGGCUAUGUUAGCCGGGCGACGGUUGUCCCGGUUUAAGCAUGUAGGCUGGUUAUCCAGGCAAAUCCGGAUAAUCAAGGCUGAGGUGUGAUGACGAGGCACUACGGUGCUGAAGUAACAAAUGCCCUGCUUCCAGGAAAA
rnacentral:rRNA from 1 species